GAGUUUGAUUAUGGCUCAGAUUGAACGCUGGCGGCAUGCUUUACACAUGCAAGUCGAACGGCAGCACAGGGAGCUUGCUCCUGGGUGGCGAGUGGCGAACGGGUGAGUAAUGUAUCGGAACGUGCCUGGUAGUGGGGGAUAACUACUCGAAAGAGUGGCUAAUACCGCAUGAGAUCUUUGGAUGAAAGCGGGGGACCUUCGGGCCUCGCGCUACUGGAGCGGCCGAUAUCAGAUUAGGUUGUUGGUGGGGUAAAGGCCUACCAAGCCUGCGAUCUGUAGCUGGUCUGAGAGGACGACCAGCCACACUGGGACUGAGACACGGCCCAGACUCCUACGGGAGGCAGCAGUGGGGAAUUUUGGACAAUGGGCGCAAGCCUGAUCCAGCAAUGCCGCGUGCAGGACGAAGGCCUUCGGGUUGUAAACUGCUUUUGUACAGAACGAAAAGUCUCUGGCUAAUAUCUAGAGAUCAUGACGGU
rnacentral:rRNA from 1 species